CACGGUGCAACUCAUGGAGUGAAGUCCAAGGAAAUGGACCAGAGAAACUAAAAGUUUAUGCACCCGUCGAGGCUCUCCGUUCUUUUCUUCAUGGUGCCAGGGGCAGCUACAGUGAAAACUUGACCAGUGGCCAGUGGAAAGCCUACCAUCAUCCAGCUUUUGGGAGGACCUGUUGACACAGCAGCUCGAGGCGGAUGCAGCUUGGUGCAGAAUCACCAUAAUUGCCCCUCUUUUCUUCCUCCUUAAAGGCUUCACAAACUGAGUAAAGGAGUUUUGUCCUUUACUCAGUCCAACUCCAGGCUUGGAGUUGGAGUUUAAACCAAAGAAAAGCCACCCUUUGCUCUGAUUACUGCUUUGCACGCUCUUGAUGAGUUUCUCACCUGAAAUGGUUUUCCAACAGUCUUGAAGGACCCUCCUCCCAACCCCAGAGAUGCAGAUGUCUGGUUUGAACAGGUGAGCAUCACAGUAUAUCAGAGUGGAGCAAACUGAGCUUGAGAUAUUGUGGGUGUUAUGCACUUUUUCUGCUCCAAAGCAUGAAAGUUAAUAGGUGAGAUUUUACAUUUUCAUUUAAGAGAAUUACUGUUUUUUAUUUUUGUUGUUGGCCUCUGAAGAAAGAUUUAACCCGCUUUAAAACAGGAACUGGAAAGAUAAACGGAGAAGGAAGUGACGCGCCACCAUCAGCGUCAGCCUGAAGAAGCCGGCAGCCGUCGGCGAAACGUAGCAUCAACAACAUGUAACAAAACCGUCUCUGUGUUUUAAAAAAGAACGACAACAUGGAAUUAGAAAUAACGCACAGCAAGAACACACCUAAGAGGAUCUGGAAAGAUUAGUUUUGUGUUCACUAAGGCUGGAGACUGAACAGUGAUGCAAAGGGGCUAGUCUCUCUAGAGAAGACCACAGCAACCUCCCUGAGCAGAACCCAGUAUCCAUCACUGUGGCAGACAUCCAACAAAGAGCCUCAGGUCUGAAGAACUGGACAGCUCCAGGACCUGACAUGACACGCCUACUGGCUUAAGAAGCUCACUGCACUCCAUGAGUGCCUGGCAGCACAAAUGAUGCAGCUGCUAAAUGAUGGGACUCACUCUGAAUGGCUAACUGACUUGGCUAAUACCAAGGAGACGCCCUGUCCCCACUGCUGUUCUGCAGAGGUCAGAUCCCCGUCUACCAGAUAAUCCACAAGACUGGCCAUGGAUAGCGCCUCCUCUACAUGGAAGACCUCGAUCUCACCCUCCACAUAGCGGAGGUCUAAUCUUCAGGUGUUUGAAUCAUGCUUAGUCCGACCGCCUACCUGAGACCAUGUUGCCAUGGAGACCCUAACAGGGGCUAAUGAACCAGACUACACAGCUUCCAGGACGAUGGAGGUCCUCAAACCCUCCCACCACGAUAAGGUGGCGAUUCUGCGGGAGGGAUGUUUUUUUUUUUUUUUUGGCUUUUUAA